rfam:Triticum aestivum genome assembly, contig: Triticum_aestivum_CS42_TGACv1_scaffold_641764_T_1BL-0.197967_5BL-0.128571
UUUGUAUUACCUCCGUACCAAAUUACAAGUCUUGGAUUUUUCUAGAUACGAAUGUAUCUAACACUAAAACGUAUCUAGAUACAUCCGUAUCUAGACAAAUCUAAGACAAGUAAUUUGGGAUGGAGGGCGUACUAU